rnacentral:miRNA from 1 species
UGAGGCAGGAGAAUUGCUUGAACCCAGGAGGUGGAGGCUGCAGUGAGCCAAGAUCGCCCCACUGCACUCCAGCCUGGGUGACAGAGUGAGACUCAGUCUC